rnacentral:rRNA from 1 species
GUACACCUAGUAACCUGCCCUGGAGACAUGGAAAACCCCGGGAAACUGGCAUAAUCCGUGAUAGGUCACCUCAUCUGGAAGGAGAGAUGGCUUAAAGGGGUGCGAGAGCUUCUUUCUUGCAUUCGCUCCAGGAUGGGACUGCGGCCGAUCAGGCUGUUGGCGGUGUAAUGGACCACCAAACCUGUAACCGGUACGGGCCUCGAGAGAGGGGGCCCGGAGAUGGACACUGAGAGAAGGGUCCAGGUCCUACGGGGCGCAGCAGGCGCGAAACCUUCGCAAUGCGCGAAAGCGUGACGAGGUUAAUCCGAGUGGUCCCCGCUGAGGGGAUCUUUUGUUGGCUGUAAAAAGGCCGAUGAAUAAGGGGAGGGCAAGUCUGGUGUCAGCCGCCGCGGUAAUACCAGCUCCUCGAGUGGUCGGGGCGAUUAUUGGGCCUAAAGCAUCCGUAGCCGGUUCUGUAGGUCCUCUGUCAAAUCCAACGGCUUAACCGUUGGCCCGCAGAGGAUACCGCAGGACU